GGAAGUGUCUAUAGACACCAAGACAGGUGAGUGGUGACCGAUUAUGUAGGGCUGUGAAGGAAUGAUGUUUAUGUAUGGCACAGGGAUAUCUGUAGUUUCUGGGAGAAUGCUCCUUUGGCAUGCCCAAGAAGAAAAGCGCUUCCAUUUAGCUAGGUAACAUCUUCUAGUAGAGUCUUGUCUACUAUUAGGAAGAAUGUCUUGCAUGGCUGUGGUGCAUGAACAUUCUAAGGAUGAUGGUGCAGGUUCCCCAACCUGGGUCUGACUGGGGCCUCAUGGCCUUCUCCAUGAGGUAUUUGCAGAGACAAAGUUCCUGUCCAUCUUGGGCAUGGCUGGGGAACAAUCAGCAGACACUACACCUCACCGUGAUCUGGGCUUCCCCAAGGCAGUCCAGGCAGCACGAGUGGUCGUCACUGUCCAAGAAGGAUCUUGGGCAGGGAAGCACAGAGUUUGAAGCCCAGAGUCCAAAGCAUAGUCUGGCACCCAAAUGGUACCGGGCGGGAGAGGGGGGGAGCAGGAUUUCCCCCAAAGAGACUAAAUCUAAACACUAAGAGAUCUGUAAAACACUAAACUAUAAACUAAAAACAGUAAAAACUAUUUAAAAGCUAAAUCUAAUUCUUGUUUUAUAAGCCAAAGAUACAGGGCAGAAACCAGAGAUUUUUUUCAUUGGCUACUAACGAGACACCAGAAAAUAAAAAUUAUUUUCAGGCAUUACCAACCUCUACCGCUACCUUUGAUAUAAAGUCAUGGGAUGCAGGUGUCUGGAAACAACUGCAGCUGACAGUGCUGAAUGUGUCACAUUUGUGAUUUCAGGUCCCAGUGACAUUUGAUGAGAUCUCAGUCUAUUUCAAUGAGCAGGAAUGGGGGAAUUUAGAUGAAAUGGCAGAAGGAGCUUUACAAGAAUGUGAUGAAGAGCAACUAUGAGACUUUGCUCUCACUGGACUAUGCAAUUUCCAAACCUGACAUUCUGUCCAGGAUUGAACAAGGGGAAGAGCCAUGUGUCAGGGAUCAAGGGGACCCAGAGGAAAGGGAAGUGUCUACAGACACCAAGACAGAAUCUUCCAUUUCCACACACAUUUCACCCCGAACCAAGCAAGAGGAAGAGCCACCGAUUGGAGAUCAGCCAGCUUCAGAACCACAAGAGAGCCGUCCAGAUUGCAGCGC